CUUCCCGCUGACCUGUCAGUUCAGCUGACGGUUGGAGCGGGCGGAGGCUGAGGGGGGAUUCCUUGGCACUUCUUUCCCGCUCAGGCUCCCGAGCCCGCGAGUCGGGCGGUCAGUCGGUCCUUACGCCGCGCCGAGGGACAUGGACUUCAUCUGGACAAGUUGUCGGCUCUUCCGAGUCUUUCAAACUGCUGCUUCAAAGUCACUGGAGGCAGCCCGUUUUCUCCUGGAGUGGUCACUGCCGUCAGCUUAAGUGGCAGUCAUGGGACAUCAGUUUUAAUGUUCCCGUUUUACUGAUGAGGAAACUGCAGCUUAGAGGCUGAGGUGACUAGUAGCCAGUGAGAGGAAGAAUUUUUGACUCCUGCCCAGUACUCCUUCCUACCUCGUCACCAUCGUCUCUGGUGUGAGGUUUGGUUUGGUUUGGAGGGCUGUCCAGCCCCUGCCAGCUACAGACCAGGGGCCACCUCAUCUACGAAGACUUCCCUGGACCACACGGCUGCUUCAAUCCUUUGUUCUUGUGCUGUUCCAUAGGCCGCAGGGGUGGCCACCUCUAUGGAGAAAGGCGGAGUGUACCAUGGGCCAACAUAGUCUUCAAAGGAGGUGACAUGGACUUUUCCCCAGAGGAGCCCUAGUCAACCCUGACCCCUCCGACUGAUGCAGCCCCCCAGAGCACCCUGAAUGCGGAUAAACUGACCACAGCUGAAAACCAGAACUACUCGGAUACACAGAGACACGUUUCAAAGCGCCGAAGAGAAGCGUGCCAUGUAUCAGAAUUGGAUCUCAGAUGGACCAGAAAGGCGAUUUCUCUUAUCGCAACUGGUGAUUUAGGGACUGUGUCAAACGUUCACCAAAGGACAUUCGGAUCAUUCAUUCACGCGACAAGCUUGUAUAUACAUUGCAGUACUGGGAGCUCGCGCUCUCUCCCUUGCCCUCUUGCUCACUCUGAUGAAGUGAGCCUCCAGUCUUGGAGAAGCGCUAUGGAGAGACCUACACAGCAGAACUGAAGGCGC